UGUGCUAAGGUAGCAUAAUCAUUAGCCUUUUAAUUGAAGGCUUGUAUGAAAGGUAAAACAUUUUAAUUUCUUUUUUAUUUAAGUUUUUCAAAAUUAUAUUAAACAUAAAAAUAUGUUUAUUCAUAAAUUAGACGACAAGACCCUAUUGAACUUUACUGAAGUUUAGCUGGGGCAGCUUAUUAAUUAAUAUUUUAAUAAAACCAAUUUUAUAAAGACCCAAAAAUAAUUGAUUUCAUGAAUUAAGUUACCAUAGGGAUAACAGCGUAAUUUUUUUUUAAAGCUCAUAUUAAAAAAAAAGAUUGCGACCUCGAUGUUGAAUUAUUGUAACAAAUACGCAACAGUAUAAUUUGUAGGUCUGUUCGACCUUUAAAUCAUUACAUGAUUUGAGUUCAAAUCGGCGUAAGCCAGAUUGGUUUCUAUCUUUUUUAAAAUUUAUUCAGUACGAAAGGACCUAUAAAUUUAUUUUAAAU
rnacentral:rRNA from 1 species